rnacentral:rRNA from 1 species
AUGGUAAAGACAGUUAAGCAAAGAUAAAGAUUAUAAGAUCUCUAGUAGAGGAGUAAAAUCUAAAUACUAAGAGUUACACCAGAUAUAAUUUAUUUUAGGUGCUGAAUCUGUGACAACUUUAAGGGAAACUGGGAUUGGAUACCCCAUUAUUUUUAGUCGUAAAUUUAGUUUAAACUUACCAGAGUACUACGAAUAAAAAGUUUAAAACUCAAAGAGCUUGGCGGUGUUUUAGACCUCUCAGGGGAACCUGUCUCAUAAUCGACAAUCCACGUUAAACCUGACCCUUUAUAGCAAUACAGUUUGUAUACCGUCGUCGCCAGGUAACUUCUAAAAAUGCAGUAGUUAGCUUGAUAAUUAUAUUAAUUAAAACGUCAGAUCAAGGUGCAGCUAAUAAAAGGGGGGGGAUGGGUUACAAUUAUAUAUUUAUAAUUACGAAGAAAACUUGAAAUAAAGUGGCUAGAAGGAGGACUUGAAAGUAAUUUUGGUUAUAUAAACAAAAUGAAUAAGGCUCUGAAACGUG